ACAAAAAUAUUUUUCCUAAAUAAAAUGUACCAUGAAAAUGCAGCUGAAGAGCACUUACUCUACCUUACACGUGAACUCUACCUUACAUUCUACAUCUCAUGUAAACACACCGAAAGACCAAUUCCUUGGAUUUCUAUUUUAAGCAUUUCUUUGGGUUCCUCUAGAAUCUAUUUAAAAUGGUACACAUUGUGGCCGAGUCAAUUUUUCACAAAUGGUUGAUCCUCUUUGGGGGGCAAAUUGGUAAUCCAAUGAGAGCCCUUUAAUGAGUUGGAGCAGACCAGUACUUGUGUGGAAGUCACAGUACUCUGCAGUGGUAAGGGCCAUUUGUCAGAAACUUGGGCUGCCCCAAUUUGAUUUUACAGUCCAUUCUUUUCUUUUUCUUUUGUGUAUUUCUUUUUUUUUUUUUACCCAGAAAGUUUCUGUUGAUGAAAAAUGAUGUUGGAUUAUAGAAGCUUCAAAGCAAAUAAAGCUGGAAUGCUUUUCUACAAGUAUGGUAAAAAAUUCAGCAUUAUUCUAGGCAGCAGGAAUAACAAAUUAUGCAUGCCGAGGCUGUACAGUAUUCUUUGGUUCCAUUUCCCAAUUAUAUGAAUUAGUUACUAGUAUUCAAGCUGAAUUUUAGCCUGCAGGAUGAAAAGAGUAAUAGUUGAGAUAUGUGUAGACUAGUGCAAAAAAAUUGAUGUUGAGUGCAGAGGAGAUAUUCAUCAGCUUAAAAUCUUCAUUGAAUUUCUUUUAAUUUUUGUUGCUCUUAAUUGUGGGGGUAUGUAUAAACCCUACUACUAUUUGUGUGAUGAUCUUUUUUCAACAGAGUUGAUACUUUCUACUAGUUCAUAUACAGUGGCAAAAAACCAGUUUUCACCAAAUUGUUCUUAGCAGAUUGCCAAGCUAGAAGAUCAAAAGCAUGCUGUAGCCCAAAUGAAUAAAAAUGAGGAUAACGAAAGGAGACCGGCGGAUGGUGAGGAAGCUGGUGGCUGUGGGUUAUCGUUGUCGCUCUCGUUGCAUCAUCCCUCCACGCAGAGAAGUAAUGCUUCUUCGACGAGCGAGAUCAGUGAGGCAUUCUCAUCAUACCCUAGGUCUAACUUCAAAGACAGCUUUGGAUCUUAUUCAGAAGAACGCAGUAUUAAUUUAGACCUAUCCAUAGCUCUCUGUGGCAUUUAAUGUCACUGUAAAUUUUCAAUUCUAGUGAAAUUCAUCUUCCUUUUGAUCUUUCCACAUUCUUUUUCUUCUUUCAUUUCCUUCUCUUUUUUUUUUUUGUUUAAAUCUUUAGCCAUUGUUAUAUGCUUUAGCUUUUGUAAUCGAUCUUCGGGUUUUGAUGAAAUAUGACUUUGUGAGCCAGAAUUUCUUACAGAUCUUGAUAUCCAUGUUAUACAUAGAAAGCUUCUAGCCAAGAACACUCUACUUUCAUAGUCCAUACCCUCCUAGAGAUGCAUAUUACAGUUUCUGAUAUGGCCUUUCACUGACUCGUCUCUGGGAAUUAUAAGACAUGGCAAUAUGCGAUUCAAAGCCUUGGCAAUAUGUAGGACUGGCAAUGGGAGUUUGAGAAAGCAUCCCAGAAAAUUUCCAUAUCCAGCUAAAUAGUUGAAUGGAGAAAUUGGUAAGGAUAGAGAAAUGAUUCCAAAGUUCAAACAGGAUGAUUUGUCUUGGAGAGUAAUCAAUGCGAAUGACCAGUGGUCGAAGAAAAAAUUGAAGUAUGGUUUCCAAAAUUCCUCUAUUAUCAAAUUGAGUUUUGAAAUUUGUUUUGCUUUGUUUAUAGAGGGAAAUACGACUUUUCUCCAUUGAGAAGGCAUACAACAUUUGUAGUCAAUGCAAUGAUAAGGCAUGCUUCCAAUUUCUUUUGAAGUCAUACUACAUUUUGAAACUCAUAACUAAAUAGUCAUGAGUUUGAAGAACUAAAUUCAUAUAAUGAGAUUUGAGUCACAUGGAAAAGGAAACUUUUAUAAAAUCUACCAUAUCUAUAUCUUGCUAUGAAAUACAUGUAUUGAGUUUGGGAAUUAAAGUAAAUUUUGUUUUCUUUAAUGUGUAAUUAUUUUUAGAUUCUUUUCUCCAAACAUCACAAGAUGUAAGAACUAAUAGAAUGAUAAGGAAGAUAGAAUCCUUUGUAUUCAUGUGUAGGUUUAGGCUCAACAAAUCCAACAUCCCCAUGCUGCCUUUUUAUAUUAAAAAAAAAAAAAGAAGGAAAAGCUUAAGAGAGAUCAAAACUAUGCAGCUUAUCAGACUCAACCACGCAAGUGAUUCAAUCUAAUCAUCCAUUGCUAGUUAAAGAACUCUAACUCUAUAUAGCUCCUUACCGUUUGUGCCCUUUAUACACAAGGGCCACUCACUCGCUAGCUUAGGAAUAUUUAUAACUCUAUUGUUAGCCUAACCAAGGGAGGACCCUUGGACCCCCUAGCAACAAACCUAAUUUACCAACCAAAGAAGGCCCUCCAUCGGGGAGAUGCCCAUCUCCUAGACCCCCUCAUCAUAGGGGAGUGCCCGUAGACCCCCCUUUUCCCAUCCCGAUCUCAGUUACUCGAUUGGAAUUCCGGCUUGGACGUAAUUUCUAAACAUCCUUGUUAAAAACAUUAUUAUUGAUUAUGCAUAAUUAUUUGAUAUAACCAUUACAACUAUAUUUUGAUAUUUUCAUUUUUUUACAAUGAAUAAAAGAAAAAAUAACGAUUAAAUAAAUGAUUUUGAAUUUUCAAAUCAACAUGAGUGAUAAAAUAAGUAAAAUGAGCCAUUUCUAAGAGCUUUAUAUUCUUUCUCUCAAAUACUCUAUUUUUUAGGAGGUCUUAAGAGUAAAAAAAUUCAUGAUCAAGUCCUUCGACUCUCUCACUAAGUCAUUUGAAUUAAACCUAUCAAAUUAUCUCUCCUUAUCACUCAUAAUCCUAAUAAUUGAAUGCACUUUCUCGUAGUGAACACUAAUGCAAAUGAUUUUAAAGUGAUCAAGUGCUUCAUACUUCUCUAUAAGAAAUGUAAUGUAUCUAGAUAAGUUACCAAUCAUGACUAGGAUAUAUAUGUACCUUUUUCUUGUAAUGCUCUUAAUUCCCAUUGAACCUAUACGGUCCAUGUGUGGCAAAUCAGAGGUUUAGAGGUAUAAGCCUCAUCUAAUCUCAUUGAAAAUUAAAUUACAAUUUCACAUUAAUGAUUUUUGUAUGCAAAAUUGUCAAUCUAACUAUUUCAUUAACAGGUGUAAUAUAUUUAUAAAUUUAAUCAAAUACCUAAUCUAUAUAAUAUAUAAAAUUUUGAACAAUUUGUAAAACAUUCAUACUAAAAAGCCCUAUAGAAAAAUUAUUUUUCGUUUGUAUCAAAUAAAUGUUCAUUGAAUAUGGGAGAUGUUUUUUCAAUUCAUACCUUCUAAAUGCAAUGAUCAUUACUUUGCAUGGACUUUUCGUUCCCCAACCAUAAUAGUCAUUAUUCUGCGUUAGCUUUUCAAAUAAUAUUUUACGCCCAAAAACAAACUCUAAAAAAAUAUUAUUAUCUAUAAGCCUAAAAAACCAUUAAAAUGCAUAAUCAUACCUUUUCAGCCCAUGCUUUUCUUUAUUCCGUUAUACCUUUUCAAUUAACACCUAUCAAAAGAAAAAAAUAAAAUCUCAGUAAUUAAGCCCCUCAAACUUAAGACACUUAUCCAAAAAAAAUAUAUAAAAAUCUUUAAUAAUUAAGAAUUGUAUAACCUUAACCUCUUUAUAUAUAUAUAUAUUUGGAAUCACAAAAUUAAAAAUCCUUAUCCCAAAAUAUUCUUUAUAAUUAAGAUUAAGAAUUUUAUGACUUGCAUGCAUUAUUUAUUUAUCCCUCAUUCAAGUUAUUUGUUUUCCUCUUAUGAAGGUAUUAAGGAUUUUUAAUUCUUUGUUUUCCUCUUAUGAAGAUGUUGAUACUUGAUACUCAUUUUUCCUUCCAGUUGUGAUUUUUCUCUAUGACUACUAUAGUCUUUGUUCUAUCCCCCCGAUAUUGGAUGACAUUGAUUGACAUCGUUUGAGUCUUUCUUCGACACUCAAUACUCUUUGUGAAGCACUAAGUGCAUUGAGUUUUAAUUGGAUUGAUGUUGUAAAAGACUUAAAAAUUGCAUCAUAUUCAUUCUUAGGUAGGGAUGACAACAAGACGGGUUUGAGACAAUUCACCCAUAUCCCAAUUCCGUUUUGUUUAUUUAUAUAUAUUCUCAUCCCUACCUCUAAAAAAAUUAAAUGGGGUAGGAUGCGACAAGGUGAGUAUAGGAAAUUCUCAUACUCGUCCUACUUAUCCUAUUUGAAAUUUUCAACAAUUUUCAAUUUUAAAUUUUAUUAAAAAUAAAUAUAAUUUAUAAAUAAAAGAUAAUGAUAAAUAUUUAUAAUUUAUUUUUAUAAAAAGUAAUGUUUUAUUUAGGCUUAAAAAGUUGAAAAAUGAAAAAAAAAAUUGACUAAAAUAACUUUUUAUUUAAAAUUAUAUAUAAUCAUAACGAGAUGAGGCAAGACAAAGUCAUACUCAAACUUGUCAUAACCUCGUUUAAGAUUUUUAAAACCCUUCUAAACUCAUCUCAAACUUGUUUAUGUUUAUCUCAAACUCUUUCUUAUUAGGGGGUGAAGCGGGAGGGAUACUCAAGAAAACUCAUCCUAUUGUAAUCCUUAUUCUAAGACUGUAUUGGAUUUCAUUUUUAUCACAUUAAUAUUAUGGAAGGAUUAAAGAUUGUAUUGUAUUCAUUAUUAGAAAUGUAUUGAUUUUGGAAUUCACAUUAUUUAAUAAAUAAAUAAAUUUAAAAUUUAUUCUUAAAGAUUUAUUGGCAAUCAUUUUUACUUUUAUUUAAUUAUAACAAGGAUGCAAGAAAAAAAAAUAUCACUAAAAGUUAUUUAUGUCAUUUUAUAUAUUUAUGUAUUAUUUUAAUUAAUUUUAAAAUAUCUAAAAAUCAUUUACUUUAAAUAAUUUUUAAACAAACUAUCCUUUUUAAUAAUGAAUAUAUAAAAACUUUCAAAUUUAAUUUAAAUCAUUUCAUAAUCACAAUAUCUUCAAAGAGUUACAAAUUAUUAAAAAUUAAGUCAUGAUUGCAUGAGCUAUUUUCUAUUUUCAUAUUAAAAAAAAAUUAGAAAUUGAUAUUUUUUCUAUUUUAUUUUCUAGAACAACCGAGUUCAAAAAAUGGAAAAAAAAAAUCACUUUAAUAUUUUCAAAAUUUUCUUAGAAAAAAACAAAAAAAAUAUAUUUUUAUAUUAAAAUAAUGUAAUUGAUUAAUCAUAAAUAUAUUGGAAUAUUUUAUUUAAGUGUUAAAAAAAAUCAACAAAAGCAAUAAAAUAUUAUAAGGAAUAUAUAUAUAAUUUUCAAACAUUACAAUAUUGAUAUUCUACAUCUCUAAAAUUACUAUAAAUAUUAUUUAUUGAUAAAUAUCAUAUGCUUAAUUGAAUUAUUAAUAUAUUGUCAUUUUAUACAUUAUUUAAAUUAAUUUAAAUUAUUUAUAAAUUGUUUAAAGGAAAUAAUCUAUUUCAAAUUACUCUGUUUUAAUAAUGAAUAAAACUAAUGUUUGAUUAAUUUUGAUUUUGAUGAUAACAAAAUAAAGUUUGGAACUAAUAAUUUAAAAUGUCUUAAAGGCAAGAUAAUUUUCAAAGUGACAAUCACAAAGAUAAAUCAAAUCAAAAGAUAAUUAUGAAAUUAUGGUUAUGAUUGUUAUGCAAGAAUAAAAGAAACCCUAACAUCAAACUUGCAUUUCAUCUUAAUGCACAAUUUAACCCUAGUUUCCCUAUAUUCCACUGUGUCAAAUUGUAAACUAAAUGUUUUAUUCUUAUCAAAGCUUUUCUUGUAUACCUCAUGAAUGAACUUAAAUAUGUGACAUUACUUGAGAGAAAAAUCUAAGUAUGAGGUAUUGUUUAAGGUUUGCUAAGUACAGGGUAUUACUUAAACAUCUUGAGGAAAUUUGUAAGUAUCAAUUAGAAUCAAUUAUUCUAAGUGUAAAGGUUGAAAGCUUGGUUUGGAAGUUUUGAUAUAGUUGAACAUUAAGUAUAAGAUUGAAAGUAGAGGAAAAUAGAUGUAAGUCAGGAUUAGAUUGAACCACUAUAAAUCUUCCGUUUAUAUUUCUUUCUUUCCUACUCUAAUUAUUUGCAAUUGCUCAUAUAAUGAUUUUUAUCAUAUUAUUAUUUAUAUUAUCACAUGCAUUUUAUGAUUAUUAAAUUUGUAAAAAGUUAUCAUCACCCUAUUCAUAUCCUCCCUCCUUACUCCAUCUCUAAGGAUAGAUAGAAUCCCCUUUUUAGGGUGAUUACCUUAAGUUGGUAUAACUAGAAAUAAAGAUCAUUAUAUGCAUAAUAUUAAAAAUAGAGAUUAAAUAAUAAAAAUAAAUAUUAAAUUAUAAAAACAACAUCAUCCACAUAAAAUUUUAUUUAGUGUGCAUAUAUUGAAUUAUAAGAUUAUUAAUAAAGGAACACAAAUAAAAAUCAUUAUUUAGUUAGUGAUAUUCAACUUGACAUUAAAGUUGAUAUUUUACACAUUUUUGAAAAACACAUUGCAUAGUCUAAAAAAUCAUUAAGGAAGAUAUAAUGAUUCUUAAAACAUCGCUACCAAAGUCAGUGAUCUCAUAAUUACUUUCGUUAACUUUACCAAAAUAUUAGUUAGAAAAAAAUAAUAGCAAAAAAAAAAAAAAAAGUAAUUUGAAUCACUUUCCUUCAACUUUACUUACACACUAGCUAAAAAUACUUAUGAAUAAAUAAAUAAAAACUGAUUUUGAAGGAUCCAGAAUCACUUCCAAGGCUUUCUUUGACACAGAAUGACUUCAAACAUUAAUCAAGAGAUGAUUUUCUGGAAUCAAUGAUCCAGGGGCUAACCGAAGCUUCUUCCAAUGCAAGAAUUCUAUUCUCUUCUUUGGACAACUGUAGCUGUAUGAAAAAUUCCACUACUUCAAUCAACUGUCCAGGAAGAAUCCAAAAUGGACUGGCUCCAAGGGCAGGUUAGCUCACUAUUGCGGUAACGUCUACGAAAUCUCCCAUUAAUAGCAGCGAGUUUUACUGCUCAAUAUAUCUCCUGCAUGAUGAACCUAAAUCCAGUACCAGUAGCUUUAUGUUUUUCCAGACUCGAUUAAAGUUGACACCAACAGAGCAGGCAGGAAGCACCAUGUUUCCAAGUGAUUAACAUGGAUGAUGAUCGGCGGCCAAUCUGGUUGAUUAGCCGUGCCUUUAAUUCAGCAAAUAAAAGUUUGGUUUCUCAAUAAUUUCUCGUUAGAUGUUUCCCUUCUAACCCAAUAUAACAAUCAUUGGACUUGAGCUUGAUGAAAGCCAUGAAACUUCGAAUUCUCUGAUGGACAAGUAUCACUCAUGGGCAAGCUCAAAUAUUGAAAAGUCGUGCCCAAACUGAAUCAGCUUUUACCAGAGCACCAAUACUGUUUUGAGCAUUUUUAUACCAUGCUCUGAAUUAUUGCCUUCCAGAUUAGCUUCUGCAAAACCCGAUUAGGUAGGUUCGUGUCGUGGUGUGGAGAAAUCAAUGGGGGGAACCCUGGCCUGAAAGAAGGUGCUGCUCAAAUGGUUGCAUGCCAGGCCAAAAUGCAAAGUCAGCAAAUAUCAGAAGAAGCAGACUACCUACCUAGCUCAAGGCCCUACGAACCAUUUUUUGCUUCCCCUCAUUUGUCUCAACCCUUUUGUCUUUUACUUCCUGUAAUAGGAAUAUUAAGUCAUUAGAGAUGGUAGGGCAUGGGAAGAUAGUAUAUUUUCCUCUUUGUCAUGUGAGCAACACCACUAACAUUUAGUACAAUCAAAUAGUGACGAUGAACACGGUAAAGCAUUCCAAAUCAAGAGAAAUAAAACACCCAGCCAAUAAACCAUGUGGUCCUCCUCCCUAUCUGAUUAACAGAAAAAAAUAGCAUCUGCUGAUGCAGCAAUCAUCGCAUUGAACUGAUCAUACCUCCCAUUAUUAGCUUAGCUGUUCCAUUUUGCAUGAGCAUUUCCUUUUGAAAAUCAAGAAGGAAACCAGAGGUCAUAGAAUGGAGGCAGUUUCUUGAAAUACAGGAACUACUAACUCUUUCUAUUCCCCACUUUGGUGUCAGAAAGCAGUGCCUUAAUGCAGAGACGUGGCUUAGUAGUAAUAAGAUUUUGGGGAAGAACUGAGACAGCUACCACCAUCGACCCAUUUGGUACCCGAGAAAGCGGUAGCAACUCAACAAGUACAGAAAGCUGAUGAGUUUAUUACAAUAGGUCAGCAGAAGUAAUACUGUGACUAGAUAAAGAAAAUAGAUAUUCACAUUUUGUAGAAAAAUUUGAGUGCUAUGUACCUCUGGAGAUUUGAGGUCCACCACUGAGUCUGAUACAGCACCUUUAACUGCAGUAGCCACAACACUGAAGCACUUUUUGCGGUCUAAUAAAGCAUGUGAAUUACAAUCUCUUGGAGUACUCUUUGGAAUCUUCAUCUCCGUCUCCUCAAUCCCUCUUCUGUUGUACCCUACUGCAAACUGCAAAGCCAGACAAGAAUUCUAUUCUAGUGUAUCCCAAAUACCAACGUCCACUACAACACCAAUUUGUAAAACCAAAGGAAAAAAGCUGGUUCAGAUGUCACUUGCCAUCAAUUAGUCCCCAUAUUGAUUUUAAAAAAAAGUGUUGUAGCCAUUGCUAAAAGCAACAGGUGGGCAAGACAUCAAGAGUCAGUAAAUACUGCAGGAUGAUUGAGUUGCUUACCAAGUAAAAAGAAUUUUAAGUGGGCACUCAACUUUUGCUUAAUAGUUGUUUCCAUAUAUAUUACAAUUUGUCUCAACUCUACAUGUUCUUGAUACCCCCUAUUUCCCUAUAAAUUGCUACGAUAAAGUGCAAAACAUGUUGACAAAAUGAUCAUCAAGAUCCAAGAAAAAAGUGUGUAUGGUGGCAUGUUGCAAGCAAAUUUAAAAGAAAGAAUUGACAGUUUCUUCGACUCCUAUGCCAACCAAACUCCAUGUCAUCUGUAAUCUUUUAUACCAUUGUGUAUUUCAUACAUAAAUAAUAAACAACCAGUGAAAACAAUACAGAAAACUAGUACCUUAAUAGGUCGUGCAAAUUUGUUCUGUUCAUUGUUCACAAACUGAACAACAAGCUUUGUAACAACUUCAUGUAGUUCCUUCUCAUCUAAUCUACAAGUAGCUUGGAUAGGGAAAAUGCGAUGGCACCAACUACACCCACAAAAUGACAUACUCACUUGUAUUGUAAUAAGAAUAGAAAAGAACAAAGCAUUGAACUAUAACUUGAUGCAAAAACCAAAUUUAACAUAUAACAUAACAUCAGAAUAAAAAAAAUACAUAUCAAUUAUAAAUAAAAAGAAAAUUUCAGGGAAAAGCAGGAGAAAAAGGCCAAAAUGCAACAAAGUUACACAGAGAGAUAAUACAAAGGGAAAAAGGGGAACACCAGAAGGAGGGAUAUGGUCUAGCAAGAAUAUAUCCAUCCACAUUACCCCUCUAUUGUGUGUCUGUAUUCAUGUGUGUGUGUGUGUGUGUGAGAGAGAGAGAGAGAGAGAGAAGAGAGAGAAGAGAGGGGGGUGGGGGUGGUUGGUUGUUUAAAAUGGAACAAAGUUAUGCACAAAGAUGAUACAAAGGGGAAAAGUGAACACAUCAAGGAGGGAUAUGGUCUGCCAAAAAUAUGUCCACUGUCACAGACUUAGGCCUUUCUUAAGCUCAUGUGCGACACUUAGACAACUCACCCCGCUUGAAAGUUGCUAAGUCAGCCUUCCCCUUGAUGCUUAGUUUGCUAGGCUAAGAUGCACGCGAUUUGGAGGCUAAGAGAACCGUAGGCAACACUUAAAGAAUAGGAAGCUUUUAUUGCUCAAAGGAAGCUUUACAAGUGCUUGGAAGCUCACUUGCUUGGUCGGUAAGGUUCUUGGGUGGUGCCUUGGCCAAAUGAGGCCCUCACCUAUUUAUAGGCACCAAUGGAACUCUCUGAAACCCACAAAGGUUCCCUACUAUCCUGGAAUUAUCUAGAAAACUCUAUACAAAAGCUAUGUACAAGUACUUACAAGACGUUGUUGGAAGUUUCUAAAACAUCCCACAGGCUUCCCUUGUCUUCCACUGUUGAUGUAGAGAAGUAUUGAUGUCUCUAGCCUUUUCUAGAACCUUCUACACUCUUCCCACCAAUGGCUAAGUGUAGGUGGUUCUAGAAGUCUCCAGAAGCUUCCUGCUCUCUAUAUAAGCCCUAUGGGGAGGGUCAUUUGAAGCAUCUUGUGACAAAUAGCUUUGUAUCUACCUAAAUGAUCUACAUCAUGAGUGCCCAUCUAUCGAUCUACAAUAUCAUAUCUCAUAGUAAAUACACAAAUAUCUAUCAGAACCUUCAGUAUCCCUUUUAAACCAAAGGGACCACAUUCUAGCAAUAGACUUUUAUAGGAAGACUCCGAGGAUGCUCCCUAACACCCAAAAGGGGACCAAGGAACACCACUUGGACGGAUAUCCCCGUGAACAUCAAUAUAAACACAGUAAAGCAAUAAUAUACUUCCUUAUUUUUGCAUAUUGCCCCAAUGGCCAUUUCCCCAAAUUUCCAGGGAGCCUUCCUGAAGAGGAAUAAAAUCUUUCCAUGUGGAAUUUAUACAAGAAUGAGAAUAAACUGCAUAUUUUCAAUCACCAACAAUAUGAGAGAGGAGGCGAUUUUAGAGCUCUUCAGGUGAUAGUGGCCUAAAAUGAAGCCACAAAGGAACUCUUCAAUCAUAAGGUGGAGAAGAAAGCCAUGGACUUGACUCUCUCCCAUAAGGACUCAAACCAUCUGGAAACAUCUUCAAAAAUGAAACCAGUCGUAUUGAAAGCAGUGCCAAAAAUGGUAGUUUUGUUCCGGUUUUCCACUGGAGCAGAAUAUUCAAGGCAAAACAAAAUCAACAACUAUGGUUGGUAAUCUCCUCCCCUUCUAUUACCCUCUUAUCCAAACAAAUAAGUGAAGAAACCAAUACCUAUGCACAAUACAUGAAUGUUGUGCAUGUCUUGUUUACUAUUAAAGGAAAAGCAUAAAGGAAAGUAAAAAGGAGGAAUUAUUUGGUUCAUUUAAAUCUGCUUGCUAUAUAUAUUAGGAAGAUUAUUCAUAUAGACAAAUUCCAUCAGGAAGAUGGAGAUGUAAAUAUAUUGAAUACAAUAUAUCACUCCAACUGUUUUCAAACGAUAACACUUGAGAGCUGAGCAAGUAACUCACAGUGGUGGCUUUACACUUCCCGAUUGCAGAGAUCGAAUGAUUUGUGAUACAACAUCAACGGUAUCAACAGAAUUGUUUCUAGGAAAGACAAAGAGAAGCAAGCCACUCCUUGUCAGCUUAACAAGUGAAAGAACAUGACCAUUUUCUACAAUUGCAUCUCUAUUAGCAGAGGAGACUCCGGCAUCUUUUGAAAGUUCACCUACUUGCACAAGGCAUAAGUCAGCUAUAUCUAAAAAAAUGUAGAAACCAUAGGUAGAAAAGUCCUAAUUGAAAACCCAAAAAUAAAGGUCAUAUUGUUCAUAAAAUUACCACCAUCUUCCCCACAAUUAUUGCUAGCAGUCUUGUUUUCAACACUGUUGACACAUUCCUCAUCUAUUUCCUCUGUGCAUAUUUUCCUUCUCUUGGUAGUUGCAUUCGCAUCAGAGCUUUCCAAACUUUCUGAGCUGCAACUACUGAAAGACCCAACAUACUGCAAGAAAUUUCAAAUUACUGUGAACAGUAGCUUCACAUAAAGAACAUUCAUCAUAACUUGGAAAAGAGAAAACAAAUAUAGUAGCAGUUCAUGACUAUCUUUAAUAAAGAGAACGAGCAACAUAAUCUGAACCUUCUCCAGAGAUAACCAAAAAAUUUUUGAAGGCAAUUGUAGAUGAGUAUGUGUAACAAAAACAAUUUUUUCUUCAGAGAGAAACUAUUUGGUGAAAUAAGUACAUCAAGACAACAAUACAAACAAUCAAUUAGUUGUUAAAAAUAUGAUUGAUCAACAAUAGAUUUUUAGCUAAGAUAUUUUAUUUCCAUGCGUUUUUUACCAAGAAAAAGUAAACCUUUCUGCGCCAAUGAAAGUUAAACUUUAUCAUAUAGCAUGACACAUGAAAUAAUUUUUAUUCUUGUUUUCUUGAAAACUGUUGCUUGUUUUAUGUGAAUUGGUACAAGAGUGGACUCACCCCAUGAGGAAUUUUGUCAUCCAGCAACAGCAACAAGAUGAAGACAACAUGGGAGAAUGCAGUUUGGAGAACAGACUUAAAUUGAAGGUUGUUAUAAAGAAAUAUGAGGUCUCAAGACUGGAUGAAGGGAAAUUCAGGUGUUGGAAAAAAAAAUGUCGACAUCCCAGUACAUACUAAAGGUCCAGAUGAAUGGUGUAGGCUUCCAAAUACAAGCAUUUUUUUAAAACAAAAUCUAAAGUUUGGAAUCCCCAAUGAAGGGUCCUCACUCUAAUUUCGGCAAAAUUAUAUGGAAGAAAAAUACAACCAAAAGAUUAACUAGGUUAAAAAAAAAAAUUGUCAUGCAGCAAAACUUCUCUCUAUUCCUUACAUGCAAAGCCUCUUCACAAUAACCCAUUCUCACUAGAAGGGAAUUACUGUUAAUGAUAAUGAACAAGCAACUCAGCCAUACUAAUCUAAGACUAGAAUCAACUAAUUCCCCUUCCAUUAGGGCUGAUUCCAUGUCAGUCCCAUACAACCAAUGCGUAAGGCCACCUUUACAAGGCAAUGAAGCCAUUUUUUGAAAAUGAAAUAUUUUCAUCAUUAUAUUUUGGUCUUAAAACAGGAUCCCUUCAUCAAAAUGCAUUCCAAAGAAGGAUACAACUCAGCUCUAAGAAAUGUGAGAUGGCAUGACAAAAUGCAAAAUUGGUAAAGAUCCUUAAGGACAACCUUUUCAAGGAUAGGCAUGGCUUCUUUUGUGGCACUUUUCUCCCUCUCUGGAAAGAAAAAGAACUUCAAUGCUCCAUUUCCAACAUAAGUAAAAAAGAGUACAUAUACAUAUGUCAGGUUAGGAUGAAGUAAGAAAUCACUUUACAUAGGAUGCAGAUUUUUGAAGAAGUUUGCUAGCCAAUCAUAUUUAGCACAUACAGAUUCUUUCAAAUAAACUCGAAAGGAAAGGUAAGACAAUGAAACAGAAAAAUGGAGAGAGAGAGAUAUAAAUGAAAAAACAACUCGGUCAACAAUAAGCAUAGCAAUAUGAUUGGUAUACCACAAAAGAAAUUGAGGUUUAAUUGUAGCAAAGUUGGAGCUUUGGUUGUUUAUUAGAUGAUACCAUAAGGGUAAUCAAACUAGUGUCCAAUCAAAAUAAGCAUCCCAUAGAAUUCUGAAACCUCAAUAACUGUUUUCAAAGUUCUCAUGGUAGCCAGUAGAGGUUAAUCAGCCGUUCUAACUGAUGGGCAUAGUAAAAAUUUGCCAUCAAGAGAGGCCUGGAUUGGGGUUUUCCAGAAAUCCCGCAGCAAGUUAAACUGCUUAAAAGAUGCUUCUGAAAAUGAUGUCAUUUUGGCAAAAUUUAUCAAGAAAUUUUGAACUUUUUCAUAUUCUUUAUUUAAUAUGAUUCUUUGGAGAUUUAGGUUAAAACUAUGCCAAUGUAAUUUUGUUUUUGUUUCAUUUUUUUCUUCCAUAUUUUAAAAUCUACUAUAUCCUUGGUCCUUCAGAUGCAAAUUAACACAAAAAAAAUGAAGGAAAAAAAUACAACUAGCAAGAAAUGGGGAUAAAAUGAUAAGAAAAUAAAGAGAUUGCUAAUGGAAAGGAGAUCUGACUGAUGGUGCAGGUGACGAGGAAUCCGGAAUGAGAGUGAUCGAGCAGCGAAGAGGGUGCGUUGUAGUCAAAGCGAGGGAUGCUUAUAACAGCAGAGUGCUGUUCCCAUGGCUUCAUCCCCUCCUCUCUCUCCUCCUCACUCAUCGCUUUCUUCUUCUGCAAAAAACCCUAAAUUCCACUCCAAAACCUCCACUCAGGCGCACACCACUUCAAUUAAUUUUCCCUUUCAGGUUUUUCAGAAAAGCAUCAGGGUUUGAAUUUGUAUCGCUUAGAGAUUAGAGAGUUCGAUUGGAUUGGGCCUGGGCCCAAGACCAAGGACAUGGGAGGAAAAUAAUUGGGAAAAUUAUCAUAAUGUCCUCAAGUCCCCUCAAGGUAUAUUUUUUUGAAAAGUCAGGAAAAGGAGGUGAAAAAUAAAAUUAUUUUGCACUUUUUAAGUCAACUAUAUCCCUAUUUUAUCCUUUUUUUUAUAUAAAAAAUUAUUAUAUAUAAACUAUCCAAUAUGUGUAUUAUAAUAUAAUAAUUUCACAAAAUAUAACUUAUCAAAUAAUAUUAUUAUUAAUACUAAUAUAUAAUAUAGUAUGAUAAUUUUACAAAUUAUUGUUUUAUUCCUAUAAUUAAAAAAGCAAAGUCAUUAUAUUUUUUUAUUUAUAGACUUAAUAAUAAUUUUGAAUUAUUUUACUUCACAAUACAACUAUUAAAAAAUAUUAAUCUAAUAAAAAAAUAGUAUUAAUAAUUGUUAAAAAGAAAAAUUAAGUUAUAAGUUGUAAUGGAUUGUAUUUUUAAUGUCCUUGUAUUGUGAGCUUAAUGCUAGAUGUCAUUCCUACAUAUUACUUAAUAUUAAGAACUUAAAACAUUAUGCUUUGCUUGAAAGAAAUUAAUUUGCUUAGUAAGAAAAUUCUUAAAAAUGUUGGUGUAAAGGAGGAAUAUAGGAGUUAUUCUAAACCAAUUUGGAUCCAUAAAUUUUUGUUAUUAAAUGGGCCAGUUUUCAAGUUCUAAAUGAUUUUUAAAAUUAAAAAAUUUGUUAAUAAAUCUAACCCAUUAAAUAUUACUAAAUUAAAGUUUAUUUUGUUAGGGUAUUUAGUUAAGUUGACAAAUGUGUUUCAUUCAUCCUAAAUUAGAACUCUACAUACUUUCUUGCUACAGGCUCAAGACCAUGGUUUAUUUAUUUAGGGAUAGCAUAGGUAAGAAUGAUUGAGGUAAUUAAGGAAUAAAGAUGUAAUUGUGUCAUAUAGUGGACUAAUAUCAAAAUUGGGCUUGAAAUUGGGUUGAAAAAAAAUGAAAUUUAAUUAAGAACAGUUGAUCUCCCUCAAGGGUUGCUAUAACACUCUUAAAGGUCGCUCAAGUGCCCUUCAGGCUCUCUCAAUGCUUAAGCACCCUUGAAUGACUCUCAAGUGUUUCCUACACUCAUGCACCCUUAAUGACACUCAAGCAUUCGUACCUAAAUCCAUUAGAUUUCAACUAUUUUCCAAAAUUCAUUAAGUUUCUUAAAUCAAUUUUAGAAAUUAAGAUUUUUAAAUCAUAUUUAUGGUAGUGUUUGUUUUUUGGUUAAAUAGAAAAAGUCAAAAUAUUUUAUUUUUUUAUUUAUUUAGUUAAAAGUAACUUAUUGAUAUCAACUAAUAUAAUUAUAAUAAACUUGUUAUCAAUAAAUUUGGUUUAGUUAUAUUUGAUGAUACCAGCAUGUUACUUUUAGUUGAAUAAAAAAAAUCAAAUAUUUUGAUUUUUUCUAUUUACCUAAGAAAACAAACAUCAUAUAAGUCCAUUAGGGUUUAACUGAUAUAAAUGUGUGCCUCUUAAGAGAGUUUUUCUUCUUCCAUGCAUCAUGAGUAUAACUUAUUUUUCUUUAUGCAUAAUUCAAUGCUCUAAAAAAAGAAAACAUCUUUUUUCGUUAAGUUCAUAGUAGUAAAUCGCAUCUCCUCAAGUAGUUUAGGAGUUUAUUAAGGAGUACAAUAUGAAAACUAGUAUAGGCUUUUGGUAGUAUAAAUGUUAGGAAGAGUAGCAACUGUUCAGGUAGUGUAAGUGUCAAGGAAAGCAGUUACUAAUUAAGUAAAUUUAUAUGCUUAAUCUUUCAUAUUCAUUGGAUUUUUUUUCGACAGUUUGUUAAUCUCAUGAUUUUUUAUAUCCUCAAAAGUCUCUAGGAGGCGUAACAUGUAAAUCACUUAUCUCUAUGUGCAAUUGACUAUUUUAUAUUUGUUAAUUUAAUAUAUACAAAAAACUAAUAAAAAUCAAAAAGUCUAUUUUUGGCUAACCCUUCUUAAUAGUUCUAAGAUACAAGAUCUAAUUAAAACUUUCACAUUUGUAUAGUGAAAUUUUAAAAAUAAUAAUAAUAAUUAUAAUGUAUGUAAAAGAGAAAUAAUGGUCAUUUUGGAUCUAUUUUAGUCUAUACAUUUUGGUAUCAAUUAAUUUAGCAUUUGAGUUUAAAUUAUUUUUAAAAAUAAUUAAACUUAUUAAUGAAUCCCACAUGUAUUCAUGAUCAAUUUUGAUGUAAGUAGCUCUAGUGUUAAUUAGAUCUAUUUUUAGAUUACUUAUUAUUUUUUUAAAUGAACAAAUCCUAUACAUUAAUUCUUGCUUGAUUUGAAAUAUGAUUCCUAAAUAAAAUAAAAUAAAAAUUAAAGAAUUUAGAAAAAAAUUAAAGAAGUACAUGCAAUGGAGAAAGAUCAUACUUGAAGAUUUUAGCUAUUGGGUGAGAAAGAGAUGAUAGAAAAGGAAGAAUUGUAAUUUACUUUAUUUUUUCUAUAAUUUUAAUUUUUUUUAUAUAUUUUCCUUUCUCUCUCAAAAGUAGUUCAAAACAACUUUAGGUUGUUCACAAACAAUUAUAAUCCUUUUUCACUUUAUUUUUAAAAUUAUUUAUAAAAAAAAAAUAUUAUAAAUUUUUUAUUUAAAAAAAAAAAUUGUUUCUAGCAAAAAAAACCUUUUUUAAAUCUUAUGGCCAAACAUAUUCUUAGUUUUCAUUAUUUAAUUUUAGAGAUUAUAAGAAAUAAAAAAUCGUUAUAAAUUUAUAAAAGUAAUUGUGAAUAACCCACACAAUUAACAUAUGGAUGCAUAUGGGAGCUCAUGUCGCUCCAAAUGUCAAUAUCCAAGACUAAAAAAAAAAUGCAUUUAUAACAUCAUGCAAUUAUAGAACCCUAAAAUUAGCCCGCCAAGCCUCUACAUUAUUUGGUGGGAAUUUAUCUAAUACUUCUAGUGAAGGUCAAAAUAAGUUCAAAGCUAUAUAUGAGUUUUAGUUGCAGAUUUAUCUACCCUUACUAAAACUAUGUGAUAGUAUCCUCUCUUUGCACGAGGUCAACAACUAUGUGAUCUAAUUCUUUGUGAACUGGAGUUGAACCCUAUGUUGUCUAAUCUUUACAUGAGGUGAACAACUUCUGUAGAUAAUCCCAUCCUUAGUACAUGAGAUUGUGAGAUGAACAACUUCUUUAAAUAAUCCCUUGAGGUGAACAACUUUUGUAGAUAAUCCCAUCCUUAGUACAUGAGAAUGUGAGAUGAACAACUUCUUUAAAUAAUCCCUUGAGGUGAACAACUGUCUUCUCUAGAUAAUCCUAAGUUGCAACGAGAGGUCUUGGGGUGUUAAUUUGAAGGAAGUUGGGAUGGUAUAAUUUGUUGAGUUUGAGGAGCAAUGUGUGUUUUCCGUCUAAGACUCUGAUAGCAUGUAAAAGACAAUGGUUCCAACAAGAUUUAAUCUUAAUUUGAUGAUCGUAGCUAAGGAGAGGUGUUUCUAUUUAUAGAUUGUCUAUGCAAAGUGAAGUAGGAUUAAACUUUUUUUUGUUUUUUUGUCACGAGGGGUUUGCAAUUGCUAAUCAUACCUUUAAGGUAGAACGAGAUUCACGUACCGCCCAUCUCGUGGCCUAAACACAACCAUGUAGCAACUCCUAAACAUGACUACGUAGGGCUAACGAAAAAGUCACAUUCAUAGGUGCUUUUUCCAGUAGCAGAACAGCAACAUGGCUGCAACUCACCCAUAGACGUCAUCUUAUAUUUGGCCAUGGUAAUAAUUAUAACUUGUUGGUGGUUCCAACAGAACCCUACAUUUAAAAAGUGUGAAAACUUAAAUAAGAAUAUAAGUACAAAGAUGCCUACAGUCCUCCAUCGAUCUCCUACCAUCAAUUAAUAAAUAUAAAUCUCGGGACGUUACGUCAUUCGUUAACUUCUAUUUUUGGGCAUGCCAAAGUUCAUGACACCUAAUGAAGUUGACGCCUAAAUGAUGAACAAUAAAUUAAUGUGAGGCUCCAGACCUGCAACUCUGAAUAAGUUGGAGUAGCACUAUAUAUACAUCAAUAUAUGUGUUGUCGAUCUGCGGAGUCCUGGGCAUCAUAUGUCGAUGGAGUUGCCUGAUUUUGUCCUAUUAGCAGUCAGUACCCUAGGCUUCAUAACUAUCUUUAAAACCCUUGUCAGUGUCGUGAAAUGGGUGUGGAUCAUGUUCUUGAGACCACCAAGGAAUCUGAAAGACUAUGGCUCAUGGGCUGUCGUCACCGGCUCUACCGAUGGAAUUGGCAAAGCCCUGGCUUUUGAGUUGGCUUCAAAGGGUCUUAACCUCGUACUAGUGGGUCGAAACCCUUUGAAACUCGAAGCUGUAUUGAGGGAGGUAAGGGAGAGACAUGGUCAACAGGUUGAGGUUAAAACUAUUGUCAUUGACCUAGAUAAGGUUGAAGGAGAGGAGAUAGCUAGGACUAUGGAGGAAGGAAUCGAGGGUUUAGAUGUUGGAGUUUUGAUUAAUAACGCUGGCUUGUCGUAUCCAUAUGCCAAAUUCUUUCAUGAGGUCGAUGUAGAGUUGAUGAAAAGUAUUAUAAAAGUGAACGUGGAAGGGGCAACCUGGAUCUCAAGGGCAGUGCUUCCAGGCAUGUUAAAGAAGAAAAAAGGGGCUAUUGUCAACAUUGGUUCGGGUUCUUCCGUCGCUGUUUCUUCCUACCCUUUACAUGCCAUUUAUGUUGCUACCAAAGCGUAAGUUGCACCAUCAUCCUAACAUUUUCUUCAUGAGUGAUGCUGGGUUUUAAGGCAUAUUAAUUCAAGAUAUAGUUUUGGAUAGGUCCCAAAAGCAGGUUGCUGAGGCUAUUAGAGGAUCAGUUCACAAUUUAUGUUAUAUUAUCUUAGAUUUUACACAUAGAUUAAAUAAAUAUAAAACAAUAAUAUACUUAUACAUUAGCUUGUUUUGGGUUUGGCAUUGGAUUGAUGAACGUCUCAACUCACUUCCAAUCAAUAUUAAGGCUAAUUGGAUAUUUUUAAUUCAAACUUGCUUUUCUUAUUAUGAGCUUGCAUUGAGAGGUUGUGUAACCCUGCAAUGCUUUUAUUGAUGAGUUGUGUUGAGAUGAGUGCCGGCUGCAAUACUUUUAUGAGUUGAGCUGAAUUAAAUGCCCAUUUGAAAAGAAUUUCAAUAAGGCUCUCCUGCUAGCCUUCCUGUUAAACUCCUAAAAAUUCAAUCUUAUGUAUGCUUUGUUUGAGGGAUAAAUGGUUGCUGGAAACCAGGACGGUUGGUUUCCACGCCCAUGGAAGGUGGCGGAAUUGGAAUAGCCAUGCGACUCGACUGCAACUUUUUAUCCCUCAAAUCUUUAUAGUAUGGAAGAUUGCAAAUUAUAGAUUUUCUGCCUUUUUCACAGGUACGUAGCCAUGUUCUCAAAAUGUAUCAGCUUGGAAUACCGGAAACGAGGAAUUGAUAUCCAGUGCCAGGUUUGGUGAUCUUCCUUUUAGAAAAAGAAAUUGGAAGUUCAAAGUAAUUUUACAAGCAAUAUCUAUUGUAACAGGCACCCAUAUAUGGCAUCAUGAAACCCGCCUCUAGCUAAAUUCAUUUAUUUAUUAUAAGCUUUUCUUUUGUUUUUUGUUUUUGUCCUUUGUUUUUCUUUUUUUCUUUUUGUUUUCUUAUUAAGUUUAUGGUGUUAUUUUCAGAUUCCAUUACUUGUGGCAACAAAGAUGACAUCCAUAAAGAGGCCCUCCUUCUUUGUUCCAUCACCAGAGAUGUUCAGCAGAGCAAGCAUUAGGUGGAUUGGUUAUGAACAUAUAUGUGUACCCUAUUGGACACAUUCUGUGCAGUGGUGCCUAACAAAUGCAUUGCCAGAUGCAUUGUUGGAUUGGUGUCUCCUCUGGUACUUUCUUGGUGUACGAAGGAGAGGCCUAGUGAAGGAUAUGGAGGCUACUGAAAAGAAGGAGAAAAACCCAUGAUUUAAAUUAAAUGUUCCAUGGUUCUUCAAACUGCCAUUUGAACAAUUGCUGCAUCAAUUAUAAAGCAGAUGUCAAAUGGUUCCUGCAUGUCCUUCUGAAUACUCAACUUUCUAUUGCCUGUUUUUGACAGUUCUAUGUUCAUCCUGCUUCGUGAUACAUAUUUGCAUUUCUCUCUUAGAAAAUAGAGCACAAACACGAAAAUGGAGCUGCUGCCGAACCUUGUCUACUCCACCCAUCGCCAAGGAGUGGGAGUCCCUCUAUCAUAGAACUGGAUCACAAUCUUUUGCACAUAAACAAACACCGACAUAAAACAGCCAGUUGCAUAAAUUGGCCCUAAAUAUGAACAUGAAUUGAUUAGAGAGAACAGAGGUAAGGUUCAUCCUGAGAAUCUUCAAUGGCGUUGAAGAAAACUCCCCAGUGCCUUUUUUCUAAACACAGCUUUCUUUUAAAUGGAAAAAAAAAUUGUGAACAAAAUUUUAAGUUUUAUUGAUUUGUAGAAAUGGAAGUGGAACAUCAGUAUAUAUAUCAUCUACUUCUUUCUUUGGGGUCAUUGACGAAGGAUCAAAAGAAGCUUGACUUGGGCUUCACCUUGACUUCUGUCUUAACAAGAGCUUUGAUGUGAUUUAAUGGGAGACUUCUUUGCAAGUUUACCACAGGCCUGUUAUAAUUUAGGAAAAUUCUAUGGUACCCACGCAGUACCAUACCCAAUUUUGUGAUAUCAUCUUCAUCAUCAACAUCAUGAUAUUACAAGUAAAGAUUAGUGUAGGGUUGUAUUUGUUCUUCACAAUGCUUAAGUAAGAAGAAAGAAGCAGGGUGAUUUAUUUAUAACCACGCAGGGUUCUUCAAGGAAGCAAUAACAGCCUUCACUUGCAGGUAAUUUUGAAGACUGUACAUACCCUUUUCUCUGCCAUGCCCACUCAUCGUGUACCCACCAAAAGGAAUCGCUGCAUCAAACACAUCAAAGCAGUUAACCCAUACUGUGCCCACCCUUAGUGCACGGGUCAGGGUGUUGGUUGUGUCUAAGUUCUGGGUAAAGACUCCUGCGGCCAACCCAUAACUAGCGGCGUUUGCCCUUCUUAUCACCUCAUCAAGGUCCCUGCAAUCAUUCAAAACGUUAGUGGUAUGUAUGAGAGGACAGAACCCUCUGAUUAGGAAGUGUACAAAGAUGGGGCCUGUUGCUCACUUGAAUUUCAGGAUGGACUGAACUGGUCCAAAUAUCUCGUCCUGUGCUAUCAACAUGCCAUCCUGAUAUUACAAUUAUGUCAGUUAGUAUAUUACAAACUUUUAGGAAAAUGGUUUGUGAACAAGGAGGGCAUAGAAGAUAUACCUGAACAUUUGAGAAAACUGUAGGCUUAAUGAAGAAGCCCUCAUUGCCAAAUCUCUCACCUCCAGUUUCAAGGGUACCUGCAUUUUCAACACCAGAUCUUAUGUAUCUCAGGAUCUUCUCAAAUUGAUCUGAAUCAAUCUGAUUAGAAGCACCUACAUCACUAUAUUUGACAGCAGCAAGAGACAUAAUUGUUUGCCAUGAUUCUCAAAAUCAAAUUCAACACGUUUUACUGGAUUUUCAUUUGCUGGAUUUCCAAGAUUACAUGCGAGACCAUCAUACAGAGUUAUGUUUUUCAAAGUUCAAAAGUAGACAUCAACCAUGAAAAAUCAAUUUGUAAGAGUAUGGUUAUAUGCAAGAAGUGGUGGCAAAUUUACCUGGGGGCCUUGCUCAAUGCCUGCCUUGAAUGGAUUACCAAUGGUACGUCUUAAAGCACGUGUCUUUGCCUUCUCUACAAACUCAUCAUAUAUACUUUCAUGUACAAAUGUACGAGAGCAAGCAGCACAACAUUGCCACUGCAGAUUGCGACACAUUUGUCAGUCAAUGAAUUCCAAGUUUUCUGAAACCUGUCUUGCUCCUACAUGGGAAUUUCUUGGAUGUACCUGAUUAAAGAAUAAAGCAAAGUGGGCUAGCUCAACAGCCUCAUCUACAUUAGCAUCCUCACACACAAUGACAGGGGAUUUCCCUCCAAGCUCUAAAGUCACUGGCUUAAGAUUGCUCCCUGCAGCCAAUUGAAGAACAGAAUUUCCAGUUACAGUUGAUCCAGUGAAAGCAAGCUGCCAUUAGAGUACAUGUAGCUCUAAGGGGUCAAGAGUGUACUCAGGAAAACAAUAAGGUAUCCAGUUUAACCAUUGACUGAUUAUUCAUGUUCAACACUAGCAAAUUGCAUUGGUUACUGAAAAUGGCUGUAAGUAAUCAUGUAAGCAUGUUUAGCUUCUUUCUUCCCAAGUGAAUUAACUUGAUCUCGAAUUGGCAAACAAUAAAAUCUAUUGAAAUCAUUUUAUAUGUUCUCUACAAUGCGCAUUAGGAAGAUUAGUCCCCUACUUCAUCACAUCUCUAAACCUGAACUGAGCAACUAAGACCCUAUCCCAACUCUGCCCUCCCAAAAGAACAAGGAAAAUCACUUCCCAUGUGUUCAAGUGCUCCUUGGAAAUGAACAACGCUGUGUCCAAGUGAAUAACAGAGUAAAAAUACUUGGAGAAAGACACAGAAAAAAUCUGACUGGUCCAUACAUCAACAAUAGUCAAAACACAAUGUAACUAUGAAUGGAAGAGUUAACCUUACUUCAUAUCAUGAUUUACAGGAACUAACAACUUAAAAUCAUUACUGAAUAUCUAUCUUCUGUCAAUUUUCAGGAUUUCCCUGCACUGUCAAUUCUAUCUUUACCUAGUUUCAGAGAUGCAAGUAUGUGAAGGAUAGAAAUGGAGACAUUUAAGUUCAUAAGUUGCCUUGCCCAUAUCCAAAUGGCUGGCAAGUGCUGCACCAGCAGUUGGACCAUAACCAGAAACCACAUUUAGAACAUCUGGAGGAAGCCCGGCCUGUCACAAAGGGUAUCUACUCAGUAUGAAAGAUGAAGAGACAACACUCGAUGUUAAUCCAUAAAAGUGGAUGUUAGAUAUUCCUUUUACCAUAAAAAAUGGAAAUGUCACCCAGAAAACAAAACAAAUAGCCAGUAGAAUAAAAUCUUGACAUUGAGUGCAAAUCAAACAUAUGUCAUACAUGCUUCUGUUAAUACAGAGCUAGGGGGCUUCAAUUUGACACUACAUCAUGCCUGAACCGGACAUCCUUUUAGUUAUUUCAAAUUAUUUGGGGGUUAGCCUUUUACAUUUUAAAGUGCCUGAAGAGCAAGAUAAAGGCCAAAAGGAAUUUGGCCAAGGUACUGAGAGAAGAAAUAAUAGUCAAGGAUAACUGGAGCAUAUGACUCUACAUAGAGCUUAAGGGUGAAAAAGAUCCUAUGUACCCCACUGCAAGUACUUGGGAUUAGGGUUUUGAUGAACUGAGCAUUGAUGCAAUAGAGAAAUAUACUAGAUGCAGUACACCCUGAAAAGCAAAAAGAAAUAAAAAGAACCAGUGCUAGAGUUUGAUUCAUGUACUACCUCAUGCAAUAACUUUGAUAGAUACAAGGCAGACAAUGGUGUCUGCUCUGCUGUCUUUAGAACGAUAUUGUUACCACAUGCUAAUGCAGGUCCAACCUUCCAACAUACAUGAGAAGUGGGAAAUUCCAGGGAAUAAUCUGUCCAGCAACGCCAAUGGGUUCAUGAAAGGUUUGCACUUGAUGCAAUCCAUCAGCAGGAACUGUGAGACCAUGAAUCUUAUCUGCCCAACCUGAGGAAUUUUUGCAUACAAAGAGUUUCACAGAACGAUCAAAAUAUAAGUAAAAGUUGAAACUUAUAUACAAGUAGUAUACAUGUUGUAUUCUUUUUUAUUUCACCUACCCGCAUGGUACCGCAUCAAACGUAUCAUCAAUGGUACUUCAACCUUUGCAGCUUGUUCAUAUGGCUUCCCAUUAUCCCAAGUUUCGAGUGCUGCAAUCUCAUCAUUGUGCUUUUCAAGCAAAUCAGCAAAACGCAAGAUCAUCCUAGAUCUCUUCUGGAGAAAUCAAACAAAGAGUGAAUUCUGUUAAGUCCAGACCCAUAUCCUUUUCGCAUUUUAGGUAAUGUGAGGAGUAAUUGAGAAGUCAAAAAAGGAAAAGAAGACAGAGAAGAGUUACAUAAGGAGUCAUCCUUGGGCAUGGUCCCUCAUCAAACGCCUUUCAAGCAGCCAAGACAGCUCGAUUAACAUCUUCUGCAUCACCUUCAGCCUGGGGUCCAAUGUCUCAAAAGUUUUCCCUGAGGCCAGAGGGAAUUAAGGCCCCACAUGAGAUUCAGUAAGAGCUAACUUGAUUUAAUAAUAACAGAGUCCCAUCAUCAGUUGCUGGAAAAUUGGAAUAUGCCUCCAUCGAUUAUGAAUAAUAGGAUGUAUAGUAGGCUUACCAGAUGCGGCAUCCACAAAUUGUCCAUUGAUUAAAUGCUGAGUAUAAUUCACAUUAACAGAAGGAUUGAUUGGUUCUUCAACAGCUGCAGCAGUGCUAUAUCUAAAGAUCCCUCUUCUCCGGGACGAAUUCCUCCCUAGGUUAGAAAUAUAGGCAUUUUACUUAGCCAACAGAUAAAAUAAUACUCCACAUACAGCAAAAGCAGCUAUGGGAAAGAACAGAACAAUACAAUUAGUUAAAGAUAACCUUUCCCCUCAAAAAGUGAAGUGAUGGAAAAGGUGAAAAGAUAUACUAUAGGGGAUGGAAGAAUGUAGCCAUUGACAAUCUAAGAAUCUCAACUCCAAAAAAUGGAUCAAUCUUCUUAUCAAAACCAGACAGUUGUAGUUGCAUAGGUACUGUGUCAUUUUGGGAGGAAACUAGAAACAAAUCCCGCCAACCAAACAGAAGGGAAAGGGAAACAGCACCCAGAAACAACAAUCACAUUCAUUUCCUUUUGCCAUAUCCAAAAAUCAAACUCAAUGAACGUGCAGUGAUUUGAGGAGAAGCAAAGAGAGAACCCAAGUACCUAUAGAAGAAAACAUAGCAGAAGAAGAAGAAAAAGAAGAAGAAGAAGUGAAAGAGCAAGAGAGCAGCGAUGAGAUCUUAGGAGCAGCCAUCACUGCAAACAGUUCGCCUCUUUCUCUUGUGUGAUUCUACUUACAUAAGCAUGCAAGGAGCUUUCAUCUGGGUUUCAGAACAUGAAUUCCCUCUCUUGACGUGUGCCUGCCACAUCAGCAUUCGGGUUUGAAAGAAAGAUUAAAAAAAAAAAACACGCAUGCACCACCCACUUCCCCGAUCCCGAUGGACCAUCCGCUUAUCCCAAUCAGCAAAAUAAUAUAUACUUUUUUCUUUUUUAAGUUAUGCUGGCGAUGACAUCCGACUAGAGAUUUCCACGACACGAGAGAUUCGUGGAUUUUUUUAUGCAAAUUUGGAAAACACUGACGGAUUGAUAUUUUUUAUUUUUUAUUUUAAAAAUAAUAAUUUAUAUUUGAAAUGUAAGGAUUCUUAUAUCAACUUAUCUUAUUUUAAAAAAAAAAUUAAACCGAUUUUAAUAUCAUUAUCUUUUUUAAGAUAAAUUACUUACACUUUAUGUAAAAAUUUAAUAUCAUUCUCUUUUGAAAUGUGAAACUAUUAUAUUUUAUCAUAUGCUUAAUAUUAUUUUCCUUUUAAGAGUAUUUACCUUUCAUGUUAAAGUUAUUAUUAUGAUUACCUAAUUUAUUCCAUGAUUACAUAUCCAUCUUUGUGUCGGGGAUAUAAAUAAAUAAAAUCAAAUUUUAAUAAUAAAAACAAAUAUCACCUAAAAAUAUAUAUACAUAACAUCAUUAGAUCGAUAAUAUCCUUUAUUAUUCAUAAAAAAAUUCUUAAUAAUAUCGUACCAUAGUACAUGAAAACAUGAAAAUGAAUAUUUUAUUUUUACUAAAAAAUUAGACUUUGACUUAUUUAUUUGAAAAAAUAUUGAAAAAAAUACUUCAACUUUUAUAAAUAUAUUUGAUUUUCAUCCAUUUAAGAAUAUUAUAAGAUACAUACACUUUUUCAUAACUCAAAUAAUUGAUGUUAAUAACAUCAAUUAACAUUUUUUUUACCAUGAAAACUAAUUUGAGAUUAUUAAAAUAAUAAAUUUUAAUAAUUAAAAAUAUAAUUAAAACUAAAAAUAAAAAAACUUUAAAACUAAAAAUAUAAAAAUAAAACAUUGACUUUCACUUAGUGAAAACACUUUGGUAGAAUGUAUAAAUAUCAAGAAAGAGUUAAAAAUACAAUAGAUAAAUAUUUUAUUGCUUAAUUUUUAAGUUUUUUGGUUUUUUUUUUUAUGUAUUUAGUUUUAAUUGUAUUUUAAAUUUUUAAAAUUCUUAUUUUACUAUUGAUGUCAACUAAUAAAAUUUUUAUUCAAUUUAUUAAAAAAAAAAAAAGAGAAGAUGAGAGAAUUUAUAUAAUACAUAAUAUAAAAUCAUUAUUAACUAAGGGAUUAGAAGGAUUUUCUUUAUCGCUUGAGUAUCAUGGAAAAUUUAUCACAAUGAUUUAUAUCUCAUAUUAUAUAAUAAAAUAAAUUCAUAAUAUAUUUAUUUGGAAAACACUUUUAUCAAAUUAAAAUGAAUAAUUAAUUUUGGAUAAUUUAUUUAAUAUUAUCAAGUAAAAGAGUAUUUCAAAAAAUAAUUAUUUGACUUAUGAAAAUGCGCAUAGACAUAAAUAAAACUUAUUUAUAAAAGUUGAGGUUUCCUUUUUUAUAUAUAUAUUUUUUUAAAUUAUAAGUCAAAAUACAUUUUCCUCAAAAUCAUUAACUUAAAAAAAAUGAAAAAGUAAGUUCUCGCACACUAAUUUAAAAACAAUCACUAAGUUGAAACUCUCUAAAAAUAAUUCAAUUUUUAUACACUCACGGGUUAAGGAUAGUACUUAAAAUGAUAAAAGAUAGUAUUUGUAUCAUUAAAAGAUAAUACCAAAAUUGUCAAAGGUAAUACACUUGACAAAAAAGUAUAUGAAAUUUUAAUUAAUCUAAAUAAGUGUUUAAAAUUUGUAUUUUAUAACCCGUUACUCUUCAAACACAAUAAUUAUACUAAAAAGUCUAGGGUACCUCCUUGGGUACCAUACCGAAAAGCUUUUAAGCCAUUGGAUGUCCAAGAUUGCAUCUUCGCCAUCCAUUUUAAAAUUGAAAAAAAAAAAUCCACUUAACCGAUUAAGGGAAGAACCGGUUGUGGCCUUUCACUCUCUUCUCCUUUAAUUUCUUCUUCCUCCUUUAUCAAUAAUUUUGAGUUUAAAUAAAAUAAAUAUGAGAUAAAUAUUGAGAUAAAAAUAGAAUUGGAAAAAAAUAAAAAUAAAAUUGAUGUAAAAUUUGAAAACUGUAGACCCCCAUUUUGGGAUGUGUUUUCUGCAAGUUAUUUUUGCCAGGUGGAGGGCUUUCAGUAGCCCACGUGUUGUCUCCUGAUUGGCUGAUUGGCUGGAAAUGAUGUUAGUGGUUUGAAGACGCAAUGGGAGGGUGACACGUGUCAUAGAAUAUCCAGGAAAAAGAUGGCAGGUCAUCAGUGAGAGCAGGCUAAUUUGGUUGUGGUUACAGAGAUAUUUUGAGGCUGGGGUUUUUCUUGGAGGGCAAGACACCUGGGGGAAAGGGGAGUGUAUUCAGUAGAGAGGAGAUAUUUUUUCUAGGCGGUUGUUUGAAGAGAUGAUUUCUGGGCCGAUGAGCAAGUUUGAGGAGUAGGAGUAUUUUUUUUUUGGUUGGUUCGAGAGAAAGAGAGGAGAUAGCUGUUUUAGAUUGCUUGAGGAGCAGCUUCUUGAGGGGGAUGCUGAGCUGAGCAUUUACCAGAGUAGGAGCAGUGAGCUGCAGCCAAAAACACCUCAUGGGGAAGGAGACUUUCAGGCUUCAAGAUUGGGAUAAACUAGGUUGAAGCUGAACCUGGCGGUCUAUAAUGUGGUGGUUGAUGGGUCUAAGUUCUCGCACUGAUUCAUCCUGGAUGUAUGGUAUUUCUGUAAAAGAUGCUGAGGAAAGAGAUGCUAAAACAGAAUAUCUUGGUGAAAUAAAUAAUGGUGCUAGCAAGGAAUAUCCUGAUGCAAUUCAUGAUGAGAAAAAUCAAUAUGGUUGCUGAGAAGGACGACUGUUUCAAUAAGUCACCCACAACUGAGAUCCUGAUAACUGGACUGGACAUAUGGAGGUUCAUAAAGCCCAUUCAAAGAAAACCCCUUGAUCGAUCUGAGAGAAAGGAAGCUGCAGAAGACUAAUUCUGGACCCCUUAUUAGACGUGAUGACCCAGUGAAAGAAACCUUCAAAUCCUCUACCUGGAGGUGGAAAUUCUAUUUUCCUGCCAAAGUUCUAGUACACUUAUCCCAGUUCUCUCCACUACAGGCCUGACUACAUCUAGUCUCAUUCCUUCAGGCCCAUUAAAUUCAUCAGAGGUUUCUGGUUCAUCAGAUCCUACUGGAUCUCUGAAAUCACAUGCUGCCGCUAUUGCACACAAACCAGAUGUGAUUAACCUGAGUCAAGAAGGUGAAUAUUCCUUCCACAGGAGCUCCCCGAAGCCAAUACUUUAGUCAAUGGUUUUGCUGCUCGUGAUAGGUUCUAUUACGGGUUGUCCAUAAUUUCAUAAUUCUGUUUACAACAUGCAUUUGGGAUAUUUAUUGAGGAAGAACCAUCGUCACUGGUUUCAUUGCCCAUUAUCCAGAUGUUGAGCUUGAAAUUGCUAAGGGUAGCCAAUUCGUUGAGGUUUCUGGGGUGGUUAUCUGUGGCAAUAUCCCUUUGGAAUCAUUUGAUGCUCACUGCUAGCUAUCGAUUCAAUCAACACAUCCAUCCUCAUUCAUGUUUUCAUCUUUCCAUACCCAUAAUACCCAUUUGUCUCAUUACUUUUCAUCACUCAUCCUCCACCAUUCAUUUCCCAUUCACCUAUCCCAUAUCCUCCCACGUGCAUGCAAUUCAGGCACACGAUCCCUUAUCAUCCUUCCCAAGCCUUCUCAUAAACUCCAUCUCAUCAUGCAUGAAUAGCCAACCCUUUCACAAUUUGAUUCUAAGCCCCAUUCAUAUCUAUACCACUACCUAACUUACCCAUAUUCUCAUCUUUCCAAACCCAUCAUAUCCAACACCACUCACACCUUUCAUCCUUCAUUUUUUCCAAACCCACUAAACACAUUCAUCAUUCAUACCCAUUUUUGCUAAACGUCACACCAAUCCCAUGCGCAUGGCUACCUUUAUGUUCUACAUCCUCAUACCCACUGCCCACCUUUCAUCACAACUACCCAUUUCUCAUCUUUCAUGCCUACCCAAACCCAAAUCUUACAUUUUUUCAUCACUUAUUCCUCCGAUCAUUUUCUUCGCAUUCCUUUCCAUUCCUUCAAUGAAACCAUGCAUGGCCAUCCUCCAGAGAAUACAUCCCAGGUCGACAAGAAGACCACAUUCGACUCGUAAUUGUACCCAGCUUCUGGAUGAGUGCAACCAGAUUCUGAUUGUUGCCGUUGCCAACGUUGGAUCCAACAAGUUGUAGAAUAUUCACCAGAAUCUGCAUAUGAAUUCUUUUGUUCCAAUGGGUAAAAAGUAAAAACACCAUGAUGAAUUUGUCAGGAAACGGCAUGGGGUUUCAGAAUAAUUUUCUAAAUGUUGCCAAUCCUCAUGGUAUGGGUGUGAACCCUCAUCAGUAGACACAACCAGAUUUAUCUGAUGGCCCAUGCAUGUGCGGCUCAAACGAAUGCCAUUUGUCUGAAGCUGGCAGGCCCUCAAUUUGUCCAGAUGUUCAUUGGGGAUAGAGUGAAACUUGUCUGCGAUGCCUUUCAACUUGAUAAAGAGGAAUCUCCUUGCAUCAUUUUUAAAGAUGAAAUUGACGCCAUAGACAGAAAGCGGUUUUAUAGUGAAGUGGGUGGUGACAUGGAGUUUGAAUAUGUCGAUUCAUCAAAUAUGUCUCCUCCUAAAGUGCCAGAAGUACAACUUUCUGUUGCCAUAGGUUCUGGACCAGAUAAUUCUGCACAUGAUGCACCAUCUAAGCUAUCACCAUGGGCCAAAAAUUUGAAAAUUCCUCAGUCAUUGGCAGGGGAACAAAACGAAUCUCCAAUUGGAACUACUGCUAAAUCAAGCUUUGCACGUUUCAUUAGUGGGAUUGGAUCACGCUUGUCUCCAAAAACUCCUACAUCUGAAGAUGGUCCUGAUGGAUCUUCAACAACGGCACAACCUAGUUUAUUUGGAAUGUUUACAAAAGGAAUAGUUGACUCAUCUAAGAAUGCAGUGAAGGUUGUGCAAGUCAAGGCUCGUCAUGUGGUCUCUCAAAAUAAACGAAGAUAUCAGGAGGAGGGAUUUGGCUUGGAUAUGACAUACAUCACAGAGAAUAUAAUUGUUAUGGUUCUCCCCAACUGAGUUAUAACCCUGAGCCAUCCUAAAACUGAUCACUGUUUCUCUCUCUUUCACUCUCACAGUGGAAGCCAGAGACUGUGAUCCAAAAUGAAGUUCAACACCGCAAAUCAUACUACAGGAUGUCAAAAGAAGCUCGAGAUUGAUGACGAUCAGAAAUUCUGAGCAUUUUAUGAUAAGAGAAUCUCACAGGAGGUCAGUGGGGAUGCAAUGGGUAAGGAGUUCAAGGGCUAUGUUUUCAAGAUCAUGGGGGGUUGUGACAAGCAAGGGCUUCCCAUGAAGUAGGGAGUACUGACUCCUGGCCGUGUUAGUCUUUUGCUUCAUAGGGGUACCCCAUGCUUUCGUGAAUGUGGAAGACGUAAUGGAAACGAAGGAGAAAGACUGUUCGUGAGUGCAUUGUCAGCCAAGACCUCUCUGUUUUGAACUCAAUUAUAGUGAAGAAGGGUGAUAACAAUCUUCCUGGGUUGACCGACACAAAGAAACCUAGGAUGAGGGGUCCAAAGAGAGCUUCUAAGAUUCAGAAGCUCUUCAACCUCUUUAAGGAGGAUGAUGUUCGGAAGUACGUCAACACAUAUUGUCGCACCUUCACUACAAAAUCUGGGAAGAAAUGCAUUAAAGCCCCUGAGAUUCAGAGGCUGGUGACCCCAUUGACUCUGUAGAGAAAACAUCGAAGGGUUGCAAAGAAGAAGAAAAUGAUUGCAAAGGCAAAGUCAGAGGCAGCCGAGUACCAAAAGCUCCUUGCAACCAGGUUGAAGGAGCAGCGAGAACACCAUUGUGAAGAACAUGAAACUGGUAAUGCUCAUACAUCAUUCGACUGGAAACUUUAUGGAACUCCCCUUGUCUCGCCAUGCUCUCUCCCAUGUUGAGAACUGAGAGAUAAGAGCAUACUGGUAUUUCUGAAACUAGCAUCCCAGUUGCAUCAUCAGACCUAUCUUGUGGUAUCACUGCCAGCGAGGCAUCUGCAAACUUUAUUGAAUCAGAUUUGAAGGAUAAAGAUGGUAACAGUUGCACCCUUGGGGACCCACUCUUGCAUGGUUUGCAUGGUCACUUUUGACAUGCAGCCUUGGUAACCACGUGCCCUCUCUUUUUAUUUCAUCAUCUUUGAUUUUAAAAUAAUCCCUCAAAUUCUAGUUUUCAAAUAGUUUUCCAAUUUCCAAAUUCUUCAAAUAAUUUUAACUUUUCAAAUUUUCAUCGUUAGAUUUUUUUUAGGUCGCAAAAAUCCAUUUUUCAAUAACAUAUGUUGUCAUUUUCUUUGGCAAACAAUUUUUACAUUUUUCUUUGUUUUUUUUUUAAAAAAAAAAUAUUUUGAAAUAAGCGUGAAUUUAAUCUUGUAAUUCCGAAUAAUGGAGUUGUUGGAAUUAACUCAUGCAAAAUAAAAUGGGCUUUGGUGGGGACCCAACAUCAAAGAAGUUUUAUUUAAAAUAAAAAUGAACUUUAGUGGAGUGUUAGGUAUGUCAUUGGUGAUUUCGUAUUCGACUUAGUGACGUGUGAGCCAUAUUUUUUAUGUUAAUUAAUUGUGCACUAACUCCAUUUCUUGAUAGUGCAUUAUGACUCAUUGUCAAGAUCAGCAUCUGCUCUCAGUCUAGCCAUUCUUUAUUGAGUAUUUUAAUUCUCACAUGUGCAUGAUUGUUCUAGGUAUCUAUUGAUUUCUUUACCAAUUGUCAUGAUUACUUCAUUUUGUUAGUAGAGACCCAUUUUUUUAAGGACUUAGAGGGGUGCUACGGUUUUUACCAUACCUUCCUAAUAAGUAACUUGACCCUCGAGCUCAUAUUUGGUUUUUCACAGAUCACCUUUUCCAAAUAAGGAGUCACACUUAGGGUUUUCUUUUUUAUUUUGUUUACCCUUUAAAAAUAAAACAAAAAUAAGUGGCGACUCCAAGUCAUUUUCUUAACAAAUAAAUCAUUUUCACAUAAAAAGUGAGUUCACCAUUGAGUGGAAGCGCAUAAGCGGAAAUGCGGAGUCCACAAAAACAUAUUUAUUAACAAAAAAAAUCCAUCAUAUAUCAUAACUACAUUAUUUUAUUUUUAACAAAUUAUUAAAAAUUUAAAUUCGACAUAAAAAUGAAUAUGGUAAUAUUUUAAUAUGAAAUGAGUAUUUGCAUUAAAAUUCAACAUUUUGAUAAUCAUAUGUAAAGCUUAGGUAAUUAGACCGUACUAAACUUUUUCGUACUCUCCAAAUUUUACAUUUUUUUAAUUUAAGGUUUUUAAAUUAAAAUUACAAUAAAAUAAAUUACUAAUACUCUUUUGAAUUACUAAUGAUAGUAUUUUCAAAAAUAAAUUUGUGAUUUCAAAAAAUAAAAAACUAAAAAUGAUAUGAAAAAUGUGAUAAAUGUACCAAGCAUGUAUUUAUCACAUUUUUUUGUACCGUUCUCAUAUUUUUUGUACCCUAAAUUAUUUAUAUUUUUUAAAUUUUAGAUUACAUAAAGGAACUGAAAUAUAAAAGAAAAAGUAGUUAGAAAAUUACAUUAUGUAGUCAUACUUGUCAUCAAUUUGGUUCAAAAAAAAUAUAUUUUUAUAUCAUUUUAUACCUCUCAUAAUGUCCAUACCUCAUCUCACAAAGUUUGUACCCCAUAUCACAAAAUUCAUACUCUCUCUCACAAAGUUCGUAUCACCUCUCAUAAAGUUCAUAUAUUCUAUCACAAAGUUCAUACUAUCUCUCACAAAGUUCGUACCCCCUCUCACAAUGUUCAUACCACCUCUCACAAUAUUCGUACCCCUUCUUACAAUGUUCGUACCCCAUCUCACAAUGUUCGUACCACAUCUCAUAAUGUUUGUACCCCAUCUCACAAUGUCCGUACCCUCUAUCACAAUGUUCAUACUGUAUCUCACAAUGUUCGUACCUUCUCUCACAAAGUUCGUACCCACUCUCACAAUGUUCGUACCCACUCUCACAAUGUUCAUGCUUUCUCUCACAAAGUUUGUAACCCCUCUCACAAAAUUCGUAUCCCAUCUCACAAAGUUCAUAUCAUCUCUCACAAUAUUCAUACCACCUCUCACAAUGUUCGUACUCAUUCUUACAAUGUUCGUACCCCAUCUCACAAUGUUUGUACCCCUCUCACAAUGUUCGUACCCCCUCUCACAAUGUUUCGUACAUCAUUUCAUAAUGUUUGUAUCUCAUCCCACAAAGUUCGUACCCUCAUCUCACAAAGUUCGUACUCUCUCUCACAAUAUUCGUACUCCUUUUCACAAAGUACGUACCCCCUCUCACAAUGUUCAUAUCAUUUUUCACAAUAUUUGUACAUUUUCUCACAUUGUUCGUCUAUCAUCUCACAAUGUUUGUACCCUCUCUCACAAUGUUUAUACCUCAUUUCACAAAGUUUGUACCAUAUCUCACAAUGUUUGUACCCACUCUCANNNNNNNNNNNNNNNNNNNNNNNNNNNNNNNNNNNNNNNNNNNNNNNNNNNNNNNNNNNNNNNNNNNNNNNNNNNNNNNNNNNNNNNNNNNNNNNNNNNNACAUUGUUCGUACUCUCUCUUAUAAUGUUCAUACACCAUCUCACAAUAUUCAUAUCUUAUCUCACAAUGUUUGUACUAUUUUUUACAUUAUUUGUACCCUCUUUUCACAUUGUUUGUCACUCUUCUCACAUUAUUUAUAUCCUCUUUAACAUGACAUUUCCACCUACAAAAUUUAUAUUUGAAUUAAAAAAAAAUCAAAUUUUACCUUUAACCCUUGUAAUCAGUUGGAAUCUUUCAUAUAAUAUCUUCCCAAGAGACAAAAUUUAUUGUUUUCCUUCUUCAAGAUAUAUAAAACUUUAUCUUCAAAUUUAAUAUACGAAUACACAAAAUAAUAAUAUAAAAAUAUUGAUGACAAUUUCAUAAAAAGUGACUAAAUGGUCUCAAUUUGAUUAAUAAUAACUCAUAAAAGAAAUUCAAAAAUCUAAAUAUUAUAAAUCAUUACAUAUUUAAAUGUCAUUUAACAUGACAUUUCCACCUACAACAUUUAUAUUUAAAUGAAAAAAUAUAUAUAUCAAAUGUUACCUUUUAACACUUGUAACCACUCGACGUCCUUUGUAUAAUGUCUUCUUUAAGACAUAAAACUUCAUUUUCAAAUUUAAUCUAUGAAUAUACAAAAAAAAAUGAUAUAAAAAUAUUAAUAACAAUUUGAUAACAAAAGAUUAAAUUAUCUUAAUUUGAUUAAUAAUAAACUCAUAAAAAAUUAUAAAAUUUAAAUUUUAUAAAUCAUUACAUAUUUGUUAUUUAACAUAACAUUUCUACCUACAAAAUUUAUAUUUAAAUAAAUAAAAAAUAUCAAAUAUUACAUUUGACACUUAUAAUCAUUUGAAAUCCUUCGUCUUCUUCAUAGAAUAUAAAUUUUAAUUUUUCUCCAUCAAAAAGUUUCAAACUUAAUCUUCAAAUUUGAUUUAUCAAAACACAUCCCACAUAUUUUGUAAUAUGGUAGUUGAAAGUAUUUAAUUUUCAUAUUAAAUUAGUAUUCAUUUUUGUAUAUAUAUGAAUAAUGAGAGUAUAAGGGUAGUUGGUAGGAUUUUCUUUUUUUAUAUAGAGUUAGAUUGUUUAUUAAAAAAAAAUUAUAUUUGAUAUUUAAUAAUAAAUUAUAAAAAAAAAAGUUGUAAUAUUUAAAUAUGUAAAAAAAUGCAUGAGAUUAUUAGGUCAUCUUUACGGAUUUGAUAAGUUUUUAUAAAUUUUUUAAUGACAUGUAUUUUACAUGUCAUUUUAUUAUUGGGGUCAAAUGUGGAUAGUACCCCAAAAUAAAUAGUGGUACCAAAGAACAACCCUAAUUAUAGUUAUUUUCUUUUAUAAGAAGAGAUAACAAUUAAAAUUAAUAAUGGAUUUUUAUAAAAUAGACUCUUUGUCGGGGGUAUCGUCAUUUCUAUAAGAUGGUUGUCUUAUUUGGCAUUUGCUCUUCAAGUACUUUGGUGAAAUCAUUGAAGUAUGGCAGUUUUUACAAGUAAAUAGCACUCAACAGUAAAAAUUAAUAGGUGGUAGAUACACGGCAUCUUCCUUAAUAAAGAGCGGCACUAGGCUGAUUUUCGUGGCCAAGAUCCACCGUUCCUCAGCUUCUUACGACGAUGGAGUUGCCUGAUGUUGUUCUGAUGGCAGCUAGUAUCGUAGGCUUCAUUGCUCUCUGUAAACCCCUCGUUGGUCUUGUGAAAUGGGUGUGGGCGAUGUUCUUAAGGCCUCCAAAGAAUCUGAAAGAAUAUGGCUCGUGGGCUCUCGUCACUGGCUCCACUGAUGGGAUAGGCAAAGCCAUGGCUUUUGAAUUGGCAUCAAAGGGUCUCAGCUUGGUGCUAGUGGGUCGAAACCCUUCUAAACUCAAAGCUGUGUCGAAUGAGAUACGGGAAAGGCAUGGUGAACAAGUUGAAGUUAAAAGUAUUGUCAUCGACUUUGCAAAGUUCAGCGGGGAGGAGAUAGCGGCAUUUAUAAAGGAAGGAAUAGAAGGAACAGAUGUUGGUGUUUUGAUUAAUAAUGUGGGCUUGGCAUACCCUUACGCUAGGUUCUUUCAUGAGGUUGACUUGGAGUUGAUGGGAAGUGUCAUGAGAGUGAAUAUAGAAGGAGCAACUUGGGUCACCAGAUCAGUGCUUCCAGGCAUGCUUGAGAAGAAAAAAGGGGCAAUUAUCAACAUUUGCUCGGGUUCUGUUCUGCUGCCAUCUUACCCAUUAGUCACCCUUUACGUUGCAGCCAAAGCGUAAGUUGCUUGAACUUUUACUGGGUUGAGUUGAAUUUCUAUUUUGUCAUGAAGUUGCUCAGUUUUCAACUUUUACCGGGUUGAGUUGAAUAGGAAUUUAAUAGUUACCUGCCUUCUUCCACUCUUGUGAUUAUGUGUUUGUUAGAGAGAAAUGCAAGCUGGGAACCACGAAAACUGGUUUUCGGCCCAUAACUUGUGGCAGAGCCUAGGGUCCCAUGGUGAUGUUUCUCUUGUUUCUUACAGGUACAUGGCAAUGUUGUCAAAAUCUAUUAAUUUGGAGUACCAGCAAUAUGGAAUCGAUGUUCAGUGCCAGGUAUAACAUUCUUCCUUUGACCAAAAAGGGGAAAGAAAUGAAAACAGUUUGAAUUUACAAUAAUAUAUAUUAUAUUGUGAGAUCCUACGUUGGUUCGGUAGAAAAAUCCAUAUGUAGAUGCACUACUAAACUAUAUGAGUCCAGACCCAUAGGAGAAAAAAGGAACAGAAUUUAUAUGGAAUGGUGGGGAACCAUUACAAAAGGUGUUAGACGUAGCCCUGGUCGGAACACAUGUUGGAAUUUGUUCAUUUGAUCAUGCCCUCAUGUUGGAAUUUAUUCAUUUGGUCAUGCAAAGAGGUAAACCAUCCACUUAACUCUGCAAUCUAAUAUAUUGCAACUAGGAUAUGAUAAAAAUUUACUAUUUAUACAGGAUAAUUAUGAUAUCUCAUAUUAGUCAAGGUAAAAAAUUUAUAUCAAUUUAUAUAUCAUGGAUUAUUAUAAAAAAAUAUUUGACGGUAAUUAUAAAAAGCGUUUUUAAUAUUUCUAACACUUGAAAUUUUUUAUCAUUCAAGUGUUAGAAAUGUUAUAAAUAUCUUUUAAAAUCACUCCUAAAUACAUUCUAAUUCUACAAUCUAAUAUAAUACAAUAUAGAUAUGAUAUAAAUUUGUUAUCUAUAUAGGAAUAAUUAUAAUAUUUCACACUAGUUGUAGACAUAAGUUUAUAUCAUAAAUGCAUUUUAAAAUUAUGUGGUCCUAAGUGGGUGGUGUAAGUGUCACCGAGUCAAAAACUUUAAAAACCCGUUAUUUAUUUUUAUAAAAAUUAUAUUAACACAUUCUAAAGUUAUAGAUAUAUU
rnacentral:lncRNA from 1 species